GACGAACGCUGGCGGCGUGCCUAAUACAUGCAAGUCGAACGCAGUGGGGACGGGUGAGUAACACGUGGGUAACCUCCCAUCAGAGGGGAUAACACUUGGAAACAGGUGCUAAACCGAUACUGAUGGAUGGACCCGCGGUGCAUUAGCUAGUUGGUGAGGUAACGGCUCACCAAGGCCAGGAUGCAUAGCCGACCUCGUAGGGUGAGCGGCAACAAUGGGACUGACACACGGCCCAGACUCCUACGGCAGGAAGCAGUAGGGAAUCUUCGGCAAUGGACGAAAGUCUGACCCAGCAACGCCGGAUGAGUGAAGAAGGUUUUGGGAUAUUAAAACUUUGUUGUUAGAGAAGCGGUAUCUAACCAGAAAGCCACGGCUAACUACGUGCCAGCAGCCGCGGUAAUUC
rnacentral:rRNA from 1 species